GCCUGAGUGGCUCAGUUGGUUGAGCACCCGACUUCUGCUCAGGUCAUGAUCUCACCGUUCGUGGGUUUGAGCCUGCAUCAGGCU
rnacentral:tRNA from 1 species